rnacentral:misc_RNA from 1 species
UACGUAGGGUGCAAGCGUUAAUCGGAAUCACUGGGCGUAAAGCGUGCGCAGGUGGUUUUGUAAGUCAGACGUGAAAUCCCCGGGCUUAACCUGGGAACUGCGUUUGAAACUACAAGGCUAGAGUGUGGCAGAGGGGGGUGGAAUUCCGCGUGUAGCAGUGAAAUGCGUAGAUAUGUGGAGGAACACCGAUGGCGAAGGCAGCCCCCUGGGUCAACACUGACGCUCAGGCACGAAAGCAUGGGGAGCAAACAGG